rnacentral:rRNA from 1 species
GACGAACGCUGGCGGCGUGCCUAACACAUGCAAGUCGAGCGAGGGACUUCGGUCCCUAGCGGCGGACGGGUGAGUAACACGUGGGUAACCUGCCUCAUAGAGGGGGAUAGCCUCCCGAAAGGGAGAUUAAUACCGCAUAAUAUCAUGCUAACGCAUGUUAGAAUGAUCAAAGGAGCAAUCCGCUAUGAGAUGGACCCGCGGCGCAUUAGUUAGUUGGUGAGGUAACGGCUCACCAAGGCGACGAUGCGUAGCCGACCUGAGAGGGUGAUCGGCCACAUUGGAACUGAGACACGGUCCAGACUUCUACGGGAGGCAGCAGUGGGGAAUAUUGCACAAUGGGCGAAAGCCUGAUGCAGCAACGCCGCGUGAGUGAAGAAGGCCUUCGGGUUGUAAAGCUCUGUCUUUUGGGACGAUAAUGACGGUACCAAAGGAGGAAGCCACGGCUAACUACGUGCCAGCCGCCGCCGUAAAAC